rnacentral:rRNA from 1 species
GUUUGAUCCUGGCUCAGGACGAACGCUGGCGGCGUGCUUAACACAUGUAAGUCGAACGGGGAUAUGGAUAUGAGCCACCUUCGGGUGAGGAGUAUGUAUAUUCUAGUGGCGAACGGGUGAGUAACGCGUGAGCAAUCUGUCCCGUGCAGGGGGAUAACACCAGGAAACUGGUGCUAAUACCGCGUAAGGCCAUUGGGUCACAUGAUUCGAUGGUGAGAGGAGAAAUCCGGCACAGGAAGAGCUCGCGUCCCAUUAGAUAGUAGGCGGGGUAACGGCCCACCUAGUCUGCGAUGGGUAGCCGACCUGAGAGGGUGAACGGCCACACUGGAACUGAGACACGGUCCAGACUCCUACGGGAGGCAGCAGUGGGGAAUAUUGGGCAAUGGGCGCAAGCCUUACCCAGCAACGCCGCGUGAGAGAAGAAGGUUUUCGGAUUGUAAAUCUCUGUCCUUGGGGAAGAAGACAGUGACGGUACCCAAGGAGGAAGCCCCGGCUAACUACGUGCCAGCAGCCGCGGUAAGACGUA